GACAGAGGGUGCAAACGUUGUUCGGAAUUACUGGGCGUAAAGCGCGUGUAGGCGGCUAUGUAAGUCGGGUGUGAAAUCCCACGGCUCAACCGUGGAAGUGCACCCGAAACUGCGUAGCUAGAGUCCUGGAGAGGAAGGUGGAAUGCUUGGUGUAGAGGUGAAAUUCGUAGAUAUUAGCAGGAACACCGGUGGCGAAGGCGGCUAUCUGGACGACAACUGACGCUGAGGCGCGAAAGCCAGGGGAGCAAACGGG
rnacentral:rRNA from 1 species